GUGUGGAGGAUGAGGAUUGUUAUAAAUUGAGGCGAAUAAUUUGAUUCAGCCUUUUAAGAUCAAUUAAUAAUUUUAUUAAUUACAGCAAGCGAUAGCAAGCAAAACAGCACUGGGUUCAGCUGGGAGCCUGGCUCCGCCAAAAGCUGACAACCUUUCCUUCUCUUCAGUCCCUUUUUAUCCAGCACCAGUGGGGGUGAUGGGUUUCCUUCCACUGUGGUUAUCAGUCCCAGCAGUAGUUUGUUUGACAAGUGGAGGUGAUGGAUCUCCUUCCCCUGCGGUUAUCAGUUCCAGCCAGUCCUGCAAAAUCUUUCACAGUCUUUGUUUGUGGUUACCAGUCAAGCCUGCAAAUUCCAUGUCCCGACUUCCCCCCCUUUUAUCCUAAUUUCAUACUUUUGAUGAACAAACAAGUCAAUGCAGUUCCUCACACACAGAACUGGUGUUAAUGCUUUUUCAGAGUGUUUGAAGAACGAAUCUCAGGUGAGAUUUAUCUCCUUGAUAAAUCUGUUCUUUGGGUUCCUUCUGGUCCCCAGGUGACCACCCUGCC